rnacentral:rRNA from 3 species
UGUUUGAUGUUCUAACGUGGACCCGUGAUCCGGGUUGCGGACAGUGUCUGGUGGGUAGUUUGACUGGGGCGGUCUCCUCCUAAAGAGUAACGGAGGAGCACGAAGGUUGGCUAAUCCUGGUCGGACAUCAGGAGGUUAGUGCAAUGGCAUAAGCCAGCUUGACUGCGAGCGUGACGGCGCGAGCAGGUGCGAAAGCAGGUCAUAGUGAUCCGGUGGUUCUGAAUGGAAGGGCCAUCGCUCAACGGAUAAAAGGUACUCCGGGGAUAACAGGCUGAUACCGCCCAAGAGUUCAUAUCGACGGCGGUGUUUGGCACCUCGAUGUCGGCUCAUCACAUCCUGGGGCUGAAGUAGGUCCCAAGGGUAUGGCUGUUCGCCAUUUAAAGUGGUACGCGAGCUGGGUUUAGAACGUCGUGAGACAGUUCGGUCCCUAUCUGCCGUGGGCGCUGGAGAACUGAGGGGGGCUGCUCCUAGUACGAGAGGACCGGAGUGGACGCAUCACUGGUGUUCGGGUUGUCAUGCCAAUGGCACUGCCCGGUAGCUAAAUGCGGAAGAGAUAAGUGCUGAAAGCAUCUAAGCACGAAACUUGCCCCGAGAUGAGUUCUCCCUGACCCUUUAAGGGUCCUGAAGGAACGUUGAAGACGACGACGUUGAUAGGCCGGGUGUGUAAGCGCAGCGAUGCGUUGAGCUAACCGGUACUAAUGAACCGUGAGG